CCAUUCUCUUGCUCAUUUUCUUCCCCCCCCCCUCGGUUUUUUGGUCUCUCCAUCGCUGGCCCCACCCCUUGGGGGUGACCCCCUGUCGUGUUGAGCAGACCCCCCCGGCGUGGGCGCUUGCUUGUGACACCGGAGAUUUGGACCAUCCCUGGAUGAGCUGUCGGACGUCGCCGUCCAGCCUUGAGCAUCACAUUGAGACAUUCCUUACAUCUUCAUUAAGUCGCAAAAAUCCUCGAAGAAGACCUGCAAGGUCGAAACGUUAGGAUCAGUCUAUACUGCAAUGCAAAUUGUUGGCCGUAUAAAUGCAUAUUUGUGUACUGUAACAUACAUCUUAUGUAAAUUUUGUCUGUGUGCCUUGCUACAACUCAUGUUCUAUUUUGCAACACACCCUUGCCCCAUUAUUGACUUAUCAAUUUUAUAACAUGUGAAUAAAUACUUUAUUUUUACUA